rnacentral:lncRNA from 1 species
CCCCACCCACCUCCUCCAGACUCCACGGCUGCCCAGGCACGAUGUGGGUCUGGUGGCCAGCUGCCUGGCAGAAACCCAGCUGCCCAGAGAGAAGGGCCUCUAGGAGUCCAGGCACGUAGUGGACACAAAGCACCUGCUGCAGGCCUUGUGACUGAGGACCCUCAUUUCCCUUGGACCUGUGGUGUUAAAAGAAUUGGCUCAGACAGCAACAGAGGUCAGGGCCAGGACCCAUCACCUGGGAGCAUGAGCCAGCACCUGCUGACCUCUGGAAACUUCUCCAUACAGAACUGUCAGCCUGAAGACACAUCCUGAUGGUCGGGCACAGACUUUGGUUUAGGACUUUGGGAGUCAGUUUCUCAGAAUAAUAUGUAUAAUGGUACAAAUAUGAAGUGUCCUCCAAAGACUCAUUUACUGAAGGCUUGAUUGUUGAUGCCACAGUGUUCAGAGGUGGGACCUGGGGAGGUAAUUAGAUUGUGACAGUGUUGACCUCAUCAAUGGGUUAAUGCAUCAGUGAAUUCAUAACUGAGUAGGUGCAGCCCACUUGGAGAAAGUCGGCUCCUGGUGAUGUGUGCAUAUUCUGGUCCCUUUCAUGCUCUUUUCCUGUCUCUGCUUCCUGGCUGUACCAAGUUGAGCAGCUUUCCCCUGCCAGGUGCUUCUGACAUUGGAGCCGGCAGACCAUAGAGUAAAAUUUCUGAAGCCAUGAGCCUGGAUUUCCAUCCUUUAAAUUGUGCAUAUCAAGCGUUUUGUGUCUCAGAGAAAUACAAUUCGCCUUGGAGUAGAGAGUUUUGACACAUAUACUUUUAAAAAUGACAACAUAAAUUCUAGAGCAGUAGAGUGACUCACUUGAGGGCGCAGAGCCAGAGAGAACAUGUUUGGCUCAGUUUCUUCGUUCUCAGUCACUUUCAAUAAUGUCUCAGUGCACAGACGGGUGUUUGUGCAUGUCUGUGUGUGGGUCUAGUGAGUAUCCGUGACGUUUGUGUGCAU